AAUGAAUUAUAAGUGAAUUGAUAAACUUCAAGAUAUAUUCUUUACCCUAUGAUACACGAUUUUUACUAAGAUUUCCAUCGAAUUUCGUUGUAGAUGUGUUUAUCCAUUCGGCCUAGUCUUGUUGAGUUACACUGAUAUUGAUACCCCGUGGCUGUUCCUCCCGGGUUUGUUUCUGAUCGGACUAAGUGGUCAGGCUUUAAUUGUGACGGAUAUGCAAGUGGUAUUCCAUAUCAAGAAGGGGAAGGCUUUUUACGUCACUGUCUUGAAUGGAGCCAUAGAUUCUUCUGCCUUUGUGCUGUUAAUAGUUAAG